GCCAAUCAGAACAAAUAUUUUAUCAUGACACAAGGAAAUGUUCAAUUCAUAACUGGUUUAUAUGGUAUUUGUUAAUCGUCUUUUUUCAAUAAGUGCACUUGGAGUUUGUGAUAAGGUUAAAGAAAACACGUCACGUGAUAAAGAAACAGCUGCUUUUACAUUUAUAUUCAUUAAUGCAACUCAUUGAGAAAAUGGCGGGAAGAGUUAAGAAUUUAGUUAAAAAUAUAUUAUUGCUAACACGAACUAUCAAUUAUAAUCAUAGUUCGUGAUUGCUAAUAAAUAAUCACUGCAACUACACUAUACUGUACAGUUUUUGUACACUGCUCUUAUUUUGAUACUAUACUAGGGCAACAUUUGAACCAAGUGCUACACAAAAAUAAUAUAUUUAUUUUUUUUUAAUUUUCAACAGCUCUUGUGAAAAUGUCAAGUUAACAUUUUAGGUAGUUAAACGUUUGUGUAAAAUAUUAAUGUAAUCGAACU